rnacentral:rRNA from 1 species
UGGGGAAUUUUGCACAAUGGGGGAAACCCUGAUGCAGCGACGCCGCGUGAUUUAGAAGGCCUUCGGGUUGUAAAAAUCUUUUUUGCGGGAUGAAAAUGACAGUACCGUAAGAAUAAGGUCCGGCUAAAUACGUGCCAGCAGCCGCGGUAAUACGUAUGGACCGAGCGUUGUCCGGAAUCAUUGGGCGUAAAGGGUACGUAGGCGGCCUAGUAAGUUAGAAGUUAAAGAAUAUAGCUCAACUAUAUAAAGCUUUUAAAACUGCUAGGCUUGAGAGAUGGAAGGGAAAGUGGAAUUCCUAGUGUAGCGGUGAAAUGCGCAGAUAUUAGGAAGAAUACCGGUGGCGAAGGCGACUUUCUGGUCAUCAUCUGACGCUGAGGUACGAAAGCGUGGGUAGCAAACAGG